rnacentral:rRNA from 1 species
UACGUAGGGUGCGAGCGUUAAUCGGAAUUACUGGGCGUAAAGCGUGCGCAGGCGGUUCGUUAAGUUCGAUGUGAAAGCCCCGGGCUCAACCUGGGAACUGCAUUGGAAACUGGCGAGCUUGAGUAUGGCAGAGGGGGGUGGAAUUCCGCGUGUAGCAGUGAAAUGCGUAGAUAUCGGGGAGGAACAUCAGUGGCGAAGGCGGCUACCUGGCCCAAUACUGACACUCAGGUGCGACAGCGUGGGGAGCGAACAGG